UUUUAAGACAUAUGAUUGACUCUGAUGAUUCACAAAGAAAAGAAUGGUGUGUCCAUUCACCAAAAGCAGUAGUUAAUGGAAAACAGAACAUAGCUAAAAGCUAAGAGUGGAGUCAACAGAUAAAGGGCUGAGCAACUGAUGAAAGGGACUGAGCUUUUCCUGAAGAACGAGAUUCAAAGUGUGCGGGGCAAUUUGAUGAGAGAGAGAUUCUACGUCGCUGGCUUUGAAGAGGAAAGGGACUCCUAGAAACAAAUGGGGAUGGCCUCUAAUUCCUGAGAGUGGCUUCCAACUGCCAGCCAAGAAGAAAAUGGGGAUAAUGGCCGAUAGCUGCAAGGAACGAAAUUUGGUCAACAACCUAUAGGAGCUUGGAAGAAAACCCCUAAGUUUCAGAUCAGAACACAGCUGAUACCUUGAUUUCAACCUUGUAAGGCUUUGGGCAGAGAACCCAGCUAUGCUGUGCCCCUAGUUCUGACCUGCAGAACUGUGAGCUAAUAAAUUUAUGGUUUGUGGUUUUUGUAUUUACAAACAUAAUGUAGCAUAUUUCACCCAAAACCUACAUAUCUUGACAUUUUAACAUCCCUGAAAUUAGAAUGUAUUUUUCCUUUUUUAAAAAUACAGAAAAUAAUGGUGCUCUUAUAAUUGAAGUCAUCUUUGAUUUGGUGAAAUAUUUCAAACAUACAGUAUAACAGAUACCCAGAUUUAAUAGAUUUUAAUGUUUUGUCACAUUUUCAAAAUGG